GAUGAACGCUGGCGGCGUGCCUAAUACAUGCAAGUCGAGCGGACGGACGAGAAUCUUGCUUUUCUGAUGUUAGCGGCGGACGGGUGAGUAACACGUGGAUAACCUACCUAUAAGACUGGGAUAACUUCGGGAAACCGGAGCUAAUACCGGAUAAUAUUUUGAACCGCAUGGUUCAAAAGUGAAAGACGGUCUUGCUGUCACUUAUAGAUGGAUCCGCGCUGCAUUAGCUAGUUGGUAAGGUAACGGCUUACCAAGGCAACGAUGCAUAGCCGACCGGUGUGGGGGGUCGGCGACCCGGGAGGGGAGACGCGGUCCAGGCUACUACGGGAGGCAGCAGUAGGCUACCGGCCGCAAUGGGCGGAAGCCUGACAGAGCAGCGGGACGUGAGUGAUGAAAGUCUUCGGAGCGUAAAACUCUGUUAUUAGUGGAGAACCUAUUUGUCCGUAACCGUGGACAGCUUGACGGUACCGGGUCAGAAAGCAACGGCUAACUACGUG
rnacentral:rRNA from 1 species